AACGAACGCUGGCGGCGCGUCUUAAGCAUGCAAGUCGAACGGCAAGAGAGAAACUUGCUUCUCUCCUAGAGUGGCGGACUGGUGAGGAACACGUGGGUAAUCUACCCUUAAGAUGGGGAUAGCCGCUAGAAAUAGCGGGUAAUACCGAAUAGGCUCGGCAUUUCAUAAGAGGUGUUGAGGAAAGGAGGCUACGGCCUCGCUUGAGGAUGAGCUUGCGUCCCAUUAGCUAGUUGGUGAGGUAAAGGCCCACCAAGGCGACGAUGGGUAUCCGGCCUGAGAGGGUGAUCGACACAUUGGGACUGAGAUACGGCCCAAACUCCUACGGGAGGCAGCAGCUAGAUAUUCCGCAAUGGACGAAGUCUGACGGAGCGACGCGCGUGGAUGAAGAAGGCUGAAAAGUUGUAAAAUCCUUUUGUUGAUGAAGAAUAACGGUAAGAGGGAAUGCUUAUCGGAUGACGGUAAUCGACGAAUAAGCCCCG
rnacentral:rRNA from 1 species